CAAAUAAUCUCCCUGCCUUAGUCCCCAGAGUGCUGGACUUACAGGUAUGAGCCACUGCACCUGGCCUUUUCAACAUACUUUGUAGUCUUCAGAGUACAGUCUUUUUUUCUUUUUUUGAGACGGUCUUGCUCUGUCACCCAGGCUGGAGUGCAGUGGUGCAAUCUUGGCUCACUGCAACGUCCGCUUUCUGGUUUCAAGCGAUUCUCCUGCCUCAGCCUCCUGAGUAGCUGGGAUUACGGGUACCCGCCACCACACCCAGCUAAGUUUUGUAUUU